UACGUAGGGCGCAAGCGUUGUCCGGAAUUAUUGGGCGUAAAGAGCUCGUAGGCGGUUUGUCGCGUCUGCUGUGAAAUCCUCAGGCUCAACCUGGGGCUUGCAGUGGGUACGGGGCAGACUAGAGUGCGGUAGGGGGUGACUGGAAUUCCUGGUGUAGCGGUGGAAUGCGCAGAUAUCAGGAGGAACACCGAUGGCGAAGGCAGGUCACUGGGCCGCAACUGACG
rnacentral:rRNA from 1 species